rnacentral:rRNA from 1 species
UGGGGAAUUUUGCGCAAUGGGGGAAACCCUGACGCAGCGAUGCCGCGUGGAGGACGAAGGUCUUCGGAUUGUAAACUCCUUUUGUCGGUGAAAAACAUUUACGUGAAUAACGUAAACUGAUUGUAUCCGGCGAAUAAGCCACGGCUAACUUCGUGCCAGCAGCCGCGGUAAGACGAAGGUGGCGAGCGUUACUCGGAUUUACUAGGCGUAAAGCGUGGGCAGGCGGCUCGAUAAGUCUCUUGUGAAAGCCUUGGGCUUAACCCAGGGAGGCCAAGAGAUACUAUCGGGCCUGGAUGUGGGAGAGGAGACUGGAAUUCCCGGUGUAGCGGUGAAAUGCGUUGAUAUCGGGAGGAACACCAAUGGCGAAAGCAAGUCUCUGGACCACCAUCGACGCUCAUCCACGAAAGCUGGGGGAUCAAACAGG